AACGCGAAGAACCUUACCUGGGCUCGAACGGCUAGUCAACGAUCGUGGAAACAUGGUUACUCCGCAAGGGGGUCUAGUCGAGGUGCUGCAUGGCUGUCGUCAGCUCGUGUCGUGAGAUGUUGGGUUAAGUCCCGCAACGAGCGCAACCCUUGUCCUGUGUUGCCAUGCCGAAAGGCGGAACUCGCAGGAGACCGCCAGCGAUAAGCUGGAGGAAGGUGGGGAUGACGUCAAGUCCUCAUGGCCUUUAUGUCCAGGGCUACACACGUGCUACAAUGGCCGGUACAAAGCGCUGCUAAGUCGCAAGACGGAGCCAAUCGCAGAAAACCGGUCUCAGUUCGGAUUGCAGGCUGCAACUCGCCUGCAUGAAGCUGGAAUCGCUAGUAAUGGCGGAUCAGAACGCCGCCGUGAAUACGUUCCCGGGCCUUGUA
rnacentral:rRNA from 1 species